rnacentral:rRNA from 1 species
GAUGAACGCUGGCGGCGUGCCUAAUACAUGCAAGUCGAGCGAACAGACGAGGAGCUUGCUCCUCUGACGUUAGCGGCGGACGGGUGAGUAACACGUGGAUAACCUACCUAUAAGACUGGGAUAACUUCGGGAAACCGGAGCUAAUACCGGAUAAUAUAUUGAACCGCAUGGUUCAAUAGUGAAAGACGGUUUUGCUGUCACUUAUAGAUGGAUCCGCGCCGCAUUAGCUAGUUGGUAAGGUAACGGCUUACCAAGGCGACGAUGCGUAGCCGACCUGAGAGGGGGAUCGGCCACACUGGAACUGAGACACGGACCAGACUCCUACGGGAGGCAGCAGUAGGGAAUCUUCCGCAAUGGGCGAAAGCCUGACGGAGCAACGCCGCGUGAGUGAUGAAGGUCUUCGGAUCGUAAAACUCUGUUAUUAGGGAAGAACAAAUGUGUAAGUAACUAUGCACGUCUUGACGGUACCUAAUCAGAAAGCCACGGCUAACUACGUG